rnacentral:rRNA from 1 species
CGUUGAUUUCACACUGCCGAGAAAAGCCUCUAGAUAGAAAAUAGGUGCCCGUACCGCAAACCGACACAGGUAGUCAAGAUGAGAAUUCUAAGGUGAGCGAGCGAACUCUCGUUAAGGAACUCGGCAAAAUGACCCCGUAACUUCGGGAGAAGGGGUGCUCUUUAGGGUUAACGCCCAGAAGAGCCGCAGUGAAUAGGCCCAAGCGACUGUUUAUCAAAAACACAGGUCUCUGCUAAACCGUAAGGUGAUGUAUAGGGGCUGACGCCUGCCCGGUGCUGGAAGGUUAAGAGGAGUGGUUAGCUUCUGCGAAGCUACGAAUCGAAGCCCCAGUAAACGGCGGCCGUAACUAUAACGGUCCUAAGGUAGCGAAAUUCCUUGUCGGGUAAGUUCCGACCCGCACGAAAGGCGUAACGAUUUGGGCACUGUCUCAACGAGAGACUCGGUGAAAUCAUAGUACCUGUGAAGAUGCAGGUUACCCGCGACAGGACGGAAAGACCCCGUGGAGCUUUACUGUAGCCUGAUAUUGAAAUUCGGCACAGCUUGUACAGGAUAGGUAGGAGCCUUUGAAACGUGAGCGCUAGCUUACGUGGAGGCGCUGGUGGGAUACUACCCUAGCUGUGUUGGCUUUCUAACCCGCACCACUUAUCGUGGUGGGAGACAGUGUCAGGCGGGCAGUUUGACUGGGGCGG